rnacentral:rRNA from 1 species
AGAGUUUGAUCAUGGCUCAGAUUGAACGCUGGCGGCAGGCCUAACACAUGCAAGUCGAGCGGUAGCACAGAGAGCUUGCUCUCGGGUGACGAGCGGCGGACGGGUGAGUAAUGUCUGGGAAACUGCCUGAUGGAGGGGGAUAACUACUGGAAACGGUAGCUAAUACCGCAUAACGUCGCAAGACCAAAGAGGGGGACCUUCGGGCCUCUUGCCAUCAGAUGUGCCCAGAUGGGAUUAGCUAGUAGGUGGGGUAACGGCUCACCUAGGCGACGAUCCCUAGCUGGUCUGAGAGGAUGACCAGCCACACUGGAACUGAGACACGGUCCAGACUCCUACGGGAGGCAGCAGUGGGGAAUAUUGCACAAUGGGCGCAAGCCUGAUGCAGCCACGCCGCGUGUAUGAAGAAGGCCUUCGGGUUGUAAAGUACUUUCAGCGGGGAGGAAGGCGAUAAGGUUAAUAACCUUGUCGAUUGACGUUACCCGCAGAAGAAGCACCGGCUAACUCCGUGCCAGCAGCCGCGGUAAUACGGAGGGUGCAAGCGUUAAUCGGAAUUACUGGGCGUAAAGCGCACGCAGGCGGUCUGUCAAGUCGGAUGUGAAAUCCCCGGGCUCAACCUGGGAACUGCAUUCGAAACUGGCAGGCUAGAGUCUUGUAGAGGGGGGUAGAAUUCCAGGUGUAGCGGUGAAAUGCGUAGAGAUCUGGAGGAAUACCGGUGGCCAAGGCGGCCCCCUGGACAAAGACUGACGCUCAGGUGCGAAAGCGUGGGGAGCAAACAGGAUUAGAUACCCUGGUAGUCCACGCCGUAAACGAUGUCGACUUGGAGGUUGUGCCCUUGAGGCGUGGCUUCCGGAGCUAACGCGUUAAGUCGACCGCCUGGGGAGUACGGCCGCAAGGUUAAAACUCAAAUGAAUUGACGGGGGCCCGCACAAGCGGUGGAGCAUGUGGUUUAAUUCGAUGCAACGCGAAGAACCUUACCUACUCUUGACAUCCAGAGAACUUUCCAGAGAUGGAUUGGUGCCUUCGGGAACUCUGAGACAGGUGCUGCAUGGCUGUCGUCAGCUCGUGUUGUGAAAUGUUGGGUUAAGUCCCGCAACGAGCGCAACCCUUAUCCUUUGUUGCCAGCGGUUCGGCCGGGAACUCAAAGGAGACUGCCAGUGAUAAACUGGAGGAAGGUGGGGAUGACGUCAAGUCAUCAUGGCCCUUACGAGUAGGGCUACACACGUGCUACAAUGGCGCAUACAAAGAGAAGCGACCUCGCGAGAGCAAGCGGACCUCAUAAAGUGCGUCGUAGUCCGGAUUGGAGUCUGCAACUCGACUCCAUGAAGUCGGAAUCGCUAGUAAUCGUAGAUCAGAAUGCUACGGUGAAUACGUUCCCGGGCCUUGUACACACCGCCCGUCACACCAUGGGAGUGGGUUGCAAAAGAAGUAGGUAGCUUAACCUUCGGGAGGGCGCUUACCACUUUGUGAUUCAUGACUGGGGUGAAGUCGUAACAAGGUAACCGUAGGGGAACCUGCGGUUGGAUCACCUCCUU